rnacentral:tRNA from 1 species
GCGGUAGUAGCUCAGGAUGGGUAGAGCACGACCUUCCCUCGGGGUCGCAGGUUCGAGUCCCGUCUUCCGCU